AAAGAAGCAGAAACGUUUCGACCUGCUAAGAGGUCUUUGUCUAGCUUGACAAAGACCUCUUAGCAGGUUGAAACGUUGCUGCUCCUUUU